rnacentral:rRNA from 1 species
CAGCCGCCGCGGUAAAACGGAGGGGGCUAGCGUUGUUCGGAAUUACUGGGCGUAAAGCGCACGUAGGCGGCUUGGUAAGUUAGAGGUGAAAGCCUGGAGCUCAACUCCAGAAUUGCCUUUAAGACUGCCGAGCUAGCAGGUGAGAGAGGUAAGUGGAAUUCCGAGUGUAGAGGUGAAAUUCGUAGAUAUUCGGAAGAACACCAGUGGCGAAGGCGGCUUACUGGCUCAUACUGGACGCUGAGGUGCGAAAGCGUGGGGAGCGAACAGGAUUAGAUACCCCAGUAGUCCCCUGUCUCUUAUU